GGAGUAUAUAGAAGUAUAUAUAGGCAAUAGAAUACUAUGUAAAUCCGCAUUGUAUUGGGGCAGGCUGGGAAAGUAGUUGAGAAAUGGAAUAUUGUAUAUUGUAAUGAGGCUUGUCCUGAAGAUCUAAUGAAAAAGAAGCAGCUAGUGACAGGAGGUGAAAUACUAGAAGAAUAAGCAUUCUUUGCAGGGCUGCAGCUUUCCCUUCCCCUCCCUGCCUGGUCCCUAAAUCAAACUAAUAUAAUUACCCGGCACUCCAAUAACCACAACUAAUUAUUCCGAAUUAAAGUUUAAUCCUGCUGCAUCUAUCAGGGCAGGAAAAACAAACUAUUUACCAGGCUGGCUGUUAUUUAAGAAAUAAAACUGCAUUUUGGUGCCUUUCAAAGUCAAUUAGCUAGUGAUGGCCAUCCCUCUCCCUCUCUCUGUCUGCACUCAUUUCUGAUUGUUUUUCUGGGCACGUUUUGCCCUAACUGCAAAUUACCAGUUGUAUGAAUUGCAGAGCAGCUGCCAUGUACAGAGCAUAGAGGGAGCUGAGCACACACACUCCCAAUCAGCUGCCACCCUGCAGCCUGCUCCUCUACCCAGUGCCCACCUCACCCCAUGGACAACACUGCCACCCUGCAGCCUGCUCCUCUACCCAGUGCCCACCUCACCCCAUGGACAACACUGCCACCCUGCAGCCUGCUCCUCUACCCAGUGCCCACCUCACCCCAUGGACAACACUGCCACCCUGCAGCCUGCUCCUCUACCCAGUGCCCACCUCACCCCAUGGACAACACUGCCACCCUGCAGCCUGCUCCUCUACCCAGUGCCCACCUCACCCCAUGGACAACACUGCCACCCUGCAGCCUGCUCCUCUACCCAGUGCCCACCUCACCCCAUGGACAACACUGCCACCCUGCAGCCUGCUCCUCUACCCAGUGCCCACCUCACCCCAUGGACAACACUGCCACCCUGCAGCCUGCUCCUUUACCCAGUGCCCACCUCACCCCAUGGACAACACUGCCACCCUGCAGCCUGCUCCUCUACCCAGUGCCCACCUCACCCCAUGGAAAACACUGCCACCCCUCAGCAGGACCACUUCAAAUGGGGUCCUGACACUGACAAGUGCCACCUGCAAGAAAUAGAAUUCACUUUUGUAACCUGGGCAACAGAUUGAUGCAGUUAUAAGAAUGGAGUCUGAAGAGCGGGCUAUUUUUGUGGAUCAGUCAUUGGCAUAUUGCUUUACCUUGCAGUGGGAAGGAACAGACACACAAGGUAUAUAAUGCAUCAUUUUUCUUUAUCUACAUUAAAUACCUUUCAUUGCCAAUUUUGUUGAUAUUCAGUGUACAU